GAUUCUCAACAAUCGUCUACCUCCCCGUGGUGAGAAUCGGGAAACAUUUCAAAUAAUGGCUAAAGACGAU
rnacentral:ribozyme from 1 species